rnacentral:rRNA from 1 species
GACGAACGCUGGCGGCGUGCUUAACACAUGCAAGUCGAACGGAAAGGCCCUGCUUUUGUGGGGUGCUCGAGUGGCGAACGGGUGAGUAACACGUGAGUAACCUGCCCUUGACUUUGGGAUAACUUCAGGAAACUGGGGCUAAUACCGGAUAGGAGCUCCUGCUGCAUGGUGGGGGUUGGAAAGUUUCGGCGGUUGGGGAUGGACUCGCGGCUUAUCAGCUUGUUGGUGGGGUAGUGGCUUACCAAGGCUUUGACGGGUAGCCGGCCUGAGAGGGUGACCGGCCACAUUGGGAAUGAGAUACCGCCCAGACUCCUACGGGAGGCAGCAGUGGGGAAUAUUGCACAAUGGGCGGAAGCCUGAUGCAGCAACGCCGCGUGCGGGAUGACGGCCUUCGGGUUGUAAACCGCUUUCGCCUGUGACGAAGCGUGAGUGACGGUAAUGGGUAAAGAAGCACCGGCUAACUACGUG